rnacentral:rRNA from 1 species
GAUGAACGCUGGCGGCGUGCUUAACACAUGCAAGUCGAACGAGAAGUGAAGACGGAGACCUUCGGGCGGAAGGCUUUAUUUCGAGUGGCGGACGGGUGAGUAACGCGUGGGUAACCUGCCUCAUACAGGGGGAUAACAGUUGGAAACGACUGUUAAUACCGCAUAAGACCACAGCACCGCAUGGUGCGGGGGUAAAAACUCCGGUGGUAUGAGAUGGACCCGCGUUCGAUUAGCCAGUUGGCGGGGUAACGGCCCACCAAAGCGACGAUCGAUAGCCGAUCUGAGAGGAUGACCGGCCACAUUGGGACUGAGACACGGCCCAAACUCCUACGGGAGGCAGCAGUGGGGAAUAUUGCACAAUGGGGGAAACCCUGAUGCAGCGACGCCGCGUGAGUGAAGAAGUAUUUCGGUAUGUAAAGCUCUAUCAGCAGGGAAGAAAAUGACGGUACCUGAGUAAGAAGCCCCGGCUAACUACGUG